rnacentral:tRNA from 1 species
AAGGAUUUAAGUUAAAAAAUAAACUUGUAGUCUUCAAAACUAUUUAUAAAGAUUGAUCUUUAAGCCUUA